rnacentral:snoRNA from 1 species
ACAUGUUCUGUGUUUAAAAUCCAGGAGUAAAUGUCUCCACAGUUGUAGUGUUCCAUGCCAGAGCAAGCUGUUGGCCCCAAGCCAUUGCCUGGCCUCUGUGUCCAUAAGCUACCAACACUGAAGUGGGUUGUGCAGCA